CAGUGACUAAGAAGCCCACACCAAAUAUACACAAGCGACAAAUCAAACGAUAUUUUUGCAGCAAAACCAGCAAACUGGAUUUCCUGAGUUGAAAGAUCUUACUCCAUGAUGAAAAAAGCUGCUUAUGGAAAUGGAAUUGGACAGUACACAUUUUCAUGCACAUAUUUAUGACAAAACAAAAAUGAGAUGUCAAAUAGCCACCCAGAGACAAGAAAGGCAACUGAAUGCAAAAAAACAAUCUUCAUAACUUCUUAUCGUCAAUGCUUCUCCUCUACUCAACAAUUCUAUAUGUAAUGUAAUGUAAUUAGUUUUUUUCACUCUCUUUUUAAGUUACAUUUUAAUUUAUUGAACUUAUAGCAGUUAUUUGUCAAAUUUAUAAACUAUUCCAUAUCAUGCAGAUAAUUAUUCAACUCCAACAGACAAUGAUCAUAUACUUUAAAAAAAAAUUGUUUUAAAAGUCAAAGUUUAUCACUUUUCUUUACGCAGUACAUUUAAUUUAAAACAUUGUAACAUGUUCAUAAUUUUAUUAUUUUGCGCUUUAUUUUUCUUAAUUUUGCACUAGUAAGAAAAUUAAAUAAAUCAUUGUUUAUUCUUGAAGGUGAGAGUCUUAUGUAUUUAGAGAUAUAAGUGCGAAUAUCUUCUUCUUAACAACUUUGCAACUUUGUGUGCUAAUUCUUAUUCUGUUUUUGUGAUAAUUGGAAGCAAGUGAAGAAAACGGGCUUAGUCCUCCUUGUAAAAAUUGAUUUUAUCAUAAACAAAGUCUCUAUCAGUUUUGGUCACAGUCUGCGACCCUAUUUCAUGAGCAAAAACGGAGCUCACUAAAAAAGUACAAAAACAAUAAAAAAUAAAAGAAAUAAUUUUUUCAAUGAGGACUAAGCCCAUUUUCUUCAUUUCCAUAAUUGUCUCCUUG